UCCCCCGGGCCCCCGGGAGCCGGGCGGCGGGCACCGUGGCGCCUCCUCCAGCUCGUCCAGCUCCUGCCUCGGGCCCCGAAGUGGAGCAGCGGAGACGCCCCUGCGGCCCAUCUGGAUCCACUGCCCAGGCCACUCAACUUGAGGCCGCAGAGCCCUGAAGGCUGCCUUUCCGGAGCAAGACACCCUGGACGCUGGAUCCCGCUCCCCGCGGGGCCGGGAGGUUACAGCCCCAGGAGGCUGCGCGGCGCUGGGCGCAGAAGAUGCGUGCGUGGGGCUGGGACACCUGGCCACCUCGGUCCACUCUGGGAGUAGGUGCGUUUGGUCAUAUUUGUUGCUAAGCGGAAAGCAGAAGGGGCAAAACCUCCCUCAAACCACACAAAGCAGCUUGGGCUUCAGGUUCCCAAAUACCCCACUCACUCAAGCCCCCAUUUCUACAAUCACCUGUACCCACCCAAAUCCCCUUCGGAGCCACCAAACUUCACAACGGGACGAGUUUUUGGAAAUGGAUCAAGCCAAUCCCUUCAUUUAACAAAGACGGUCCAGGGAGAUUCUGUCGCGCAGCUACUAUCUUGGCACAAGUUCUGAACUUGGCCUGAAGAAGCUCCAAACAUCAGAAAGAAGACAAAAUAACUAAACCUCAAUUCUUUUCAAUUCGGAGAUGAAAGUAAGGUUUUGUCUAAUGGCAGCCAGUGUUUUCACUCUUUGGGAUUAGUGAAUUCAGUAAAAAGACCAGUAAGAGCCGGGAAAGAGAAACAGUGUGAAGAAAGGAGAUGUUUGCAAAGUAACGAAUUGAGAAAAGCAGCCAACGCCUUGAGUGUAACAACAUGACAAGAAGGAGCCAUUGGAGCCCAGACAUAUAUGGAAACAAAGAGUUUAAUGAGAAGUAUUACCUUCGGUUUAUGGUACUCCAUUACUGAUGAACUAAAAGCCAAGGCACUACUAGUCAUCAACAGUUCACCGUACUCAUUCUCUUCUAUCAGCCAGCAAGAAUCCCUCACCUCUGUGGACUUUUCUGGUAUAGAUUUUGCCUUUUUUCUGUGUUCAUAAAUAAAAGAGUUCUCUAUUC